GUCAUUGUGAUGUAGUGGUUUGAGCAUUAGACUAUGACUCUAGAGACCAGGGUUCGAAUCUCUGCUCAACCA